rnacentral:rRNA from 1 species
AUUGAACGCUGGCGGCAGGCCUAACACAUGCAAGUCGAACGGUAACAGGAAGAAGCUUGCUUCUUUGCUGACGAGUGGCGGACGGGUGAGUAAUGUCUGGGAAACUGCCUGAUGGAGGGGGAUAACUACUGGAAACGGUAGCUAAUACCGCAUAAUGUCGCAAGACCAAAGAGGGGGACCUUCGGGCCUCUUGCCAUCGGAUGUGCCCAGAUGGGAUUAGCUAGUAGGUGGGGUAACGGCUCACCUAGGCGACGAUCCCUAGCUGGUCUGAGAGGAUGACCAGCCACACUGGAAAUGAGACACGGUCCAGACUCCUACGGGAGGCAGCAGUGGGGAAUAUUGCACAAUGGGCGCAAGCCUGAUGCAGCUAUGCCGCGUGUAUGAAGAAGGCCUUCGGGUUGUAAAGUACUUUCAGCGGGGAGGAAGGGAGUAAAGUUAAUACCUUUGCUCAUUGACGUUACCCGCAGAAGAAGCACCGGCUAACUCCGUG